UUUGUAACAAUGAAAUUGGGGGUCAGCACAACAUGAGGAACUGUAUUAAAGGGUCUCGGCAUUAGGAAGGUUGAGUUUAACACUGGUUUAAAGUAUUACAUAUGUCUCCUUUUCCCCCCAUCGACCCCUCCUUGAUCACUCCCACCCCCCUAAUUACAAGGAGGCAUGAUUUAAAAAUCAAUAUCUGUUUCUUCUUCUCGGGAUUGGGAGUAUUUACUGAAUUCAGACCACCACCAGAAGGUUGAGUCUCACCUUUUGAACAGAUCUUUGUGUCUGAAUCCUUUGGAAAGUUUCUCAGAUGAAGGAUGAAGACUUGUCAGAGAAUCUCAGUCUGGAUUCUUCUACACUUCUCUCACACACCUGCAAUCUUUUUCCUUCUUCACUGGGUCUCUGAGGAGCCUAAAUGGAAUACUCUGAUGGGAGAAGGAAUUCAUUCACUUGUUGACCCCCCUUGUUCAGUUGGCAAGGUAAAUACUGUGUGUAGAGUGAAAACUUCCAGGAGUGCUCAGGUGACUCAGAAAUUGGCCUUCUUAAGAACCCAGAGCAUUUUUUUGCAAAACACAGACUUAUUUGAAGAUACUGGCCAUGUAAGGGCUUGUGAGUCAUCUUUGUCCUAAGAUCAGCAGGAAGUCAGGAAACGCUAAACACUGGGGGUGACCCGAAGAGCAUUUCAUGUUGACAAGCUGACUGCCUGCACUGUGGUGGAAGGUCUAUAACAAUACCUGCUAUGCUGUAACAAUACCUACAUUCUAGUAGUGCUUACAGUUCAGAGAAUUGCAGUUUAGCUACAUAAAUUGUCAACAAGGCAGGGAAUCAUGAUCCCCAUUCGUGAUGAGAAAACCUGUCAGAGUGUGUUUCCAAGACCAUGACGCUUGGCUAGCUGUGGGCUCUGUGCUGCACUUGUGCUGUCGCCUUCUGUGUCUUUCAGGUUCCUAGUGGACCUACAUUGAAAUGGCGCUAACACUGAACUUUCACAGCCUUGCCAGCACGCUGUUUAACACUGAAUUCCAAAGGUCACCCACUUGGGUAUUGUGACCCUUGAUAAUAAAUAAAAUUGAAUGGAAUAAAAAUAUCAACAUCUGAGUUAAUAUUACAGCAUGUGUUCUAAUUUUUGUGCUCUUCCUUGAGAUAACGAGUUGUAUUCUGAGACAUGGCACUUUUAAUUUUUUUAUUUCUCUUAGGACAAAUCAUUACUAUCAUGAAAAUUGUUUUGUAAUGAAAUGAUUUCCAACCCUAAUCAUGGACUCUGAUAUUUUUUACAUAUUUUAUUUAGUUUUAAAACUUCACAGUGAAUUAACUGGUAUUUCCCCAUUUUCUGGAAGAAAAUAUUGAGGUUCUAGAGAUGGUUUGUUGAAGAAAAACAGCUAAUAGGAAAUGGAAUAGAACCGAGAUCGCAGUGUUUUUACAGUAGUUUCAUGUGCACAAAAUUUGUCUAGCAAAAGUAGUUGAGGUUGCACUUAUCAUACUGGGCACUGGAAAGUCCAGAAAUAGAAUAAAGAGGCUCUGGAUUUGAUUAUCUUUUUUCUCCUAAGUAUGUUUUUAAAUUGGAAAGUUCUGUUGAUGAAUGCUAACUGUUGAGGGUAGAGAUUGUAAUACCUUCCUAGUUAUUUGUAUUUUAUCUGUUCUUGUAGUUUUAGGGCCUUAGAAUUGGAGUUUUACUUAGAUCAUUACUGCAAGGAUUACACAGUGCUUUUCAGAACUACUGAAGAAGUAUGCACGAUUGAUCAGGAUUGUUGCAGUGGUGGUGUCAGUGAACUAUGGCCUUCCGGUAGAACCAGGGCUGUGUACCUUGUUUCCGUACCGUCCUGUUCCAGUGGAACCAUUGCCUCUUCCUAAGCUGAGUUUGACUGAUUGUUGCAGUGGUGGUGUCAGUGAACUAUGGCCCUUCCGGUAGAACCAGGGCUGUGUACCUUGUUUCCAUACCGUCCUGUUCCAGUGGAACCAUUGCCUCUUCCUAAGCUGAGUUUGACUGGCCACUGAUGGGUGUGUCAGAGUUCUUUCCGUGGGACAGAGUGAAAGAAUUGCCACCAACAACCGCCGCACGUCCAGCUACCCUGUCUGCAGAGCCAGGGAGCAGG